GACGAACGCUGGCGGCGUGCUUAACACAUGCAAGUCGAACGGAAAGGCCCUGCUUUGGUGGGGUGCUCGAGUGGCGAACGGGUGAGUAACACGUGAGUAACCUGCCCUUGACUUUGGGAUAACUUCAGGAAACUGGGGCUAAUACCGGAUAGGAGCUCCUGCUGCAUGGUGGGGGUUGGAAAGGUUCGGCGGUUGGGGAUGGACUCGCGGCUUAUCAGCUUGUUGGUGGGGUAGUGGCUUACCAAGGCUGUGACGGGUAGCCGGCCUGAGAGGGUGACCGGCCACAUUGGGACUGAGAUACGGCCCAGACUCCUACGGGAGGCAGCAGUGGGGAAUAUUGCACAAUGGGCGGAAGCCUGAUGCAGCAACGCCGCGUGCGGGAUGACGGCCUUCGGGUUGUAAACCGCUUUCGCCUGUGACGAAGCGUGAGUGACGGUAAUGGGUAAAGAAGCACCGGCUAACUACGUG
rnacentral:rRNA from 1 species